GGGCGCGUAGCUCAGUUGGUAGAGCAUUCGACUUUUAAUCGAACGGUCACAGGUUCGAUCCCUGUCGCGCCCACCA
rnacentral:tRNA from 1 species